UUUACCUUGUUGCUUCGGCGGGCCCGCCUUAACUGGCCGCCGGGGGGCUUACGCCCCCGGGCCCGCGCCCGCCGAAGACACCCUCGAACUCUGUCUGAAGAUUGUAGUCUGAGUGAAAAUAUAAAUUAUUUAAAACUUUCAACAACGGAUCUCUUGGUUCCGGCAUCGAUGAAGAACGCAGCGAAAUGCGAUACGUAAUGUGAAUUGCAAAUUCAGUGAAUCAUCGAGUCUUUGAACGCACAUUGCGCCCCCUGGUAUUCCGGGGGGCAUGCCUGUCCGAGCGUCAUUGCUGCCCUCAAGCACGGCUUGUGUGUUGGGCCCCGUCCUCCGAUCCCGGGGGACGGGCCCGAAAGGCAGCGGCGGCACCGCGUCCGGUCCUCGAGCGUAUGGGGCUUUGUCACCCGCUCUGUAGGCCCGGCCGGCGCUUGCCGAUCAACCCAAAUUUUUAUCCAGGUUGACCUCGGAUCAGGUAGGGAUACCCGCUGAACUUAAGCAUAUCAA
rnacentral:rRNA from 1 species